rnacentral:rRNA from 1 species
UUAGGGUUCGAUUAUGGCUCAGGAUGAACGCUGGCGGCGUGCUUAACACAUGCAAGUCGAACGAACCUUCGGGUUAGUGGCGGACGGGUGAGUAACGCGUGAGAAUCUGCCCUCAGGAGGGGGAUAACAGCUGGAAACGGCUGCUAAUACCCCAUAUGCCGCGAGGUGAAAUGAAUUUCGCCUGAGGAUGAGCUCGCGUCUGAUUAGCUAGUUGGUGUGGGUAAUGGCUCACCAAGGCAUCGAUCAGUAGCUGGUCUGAGAGGAUGAUCAGCCACACUGGGACUGAGACACGGCCCAGACUCCUACGGGAGGCAGCAGUGGGGAAUUUUCCGCAAUGGGCGAAAGCCUGACGGAGCAACGCCGCGUGAGGGAUGAAGGCCUCUGGGCUGUAAAACCUCAUUUUAAUCC